GACGGAGGGUGCUAGCGUUGUUCGGAAUUACUGGGCGUAAAGGGCGCGUAGGCGGCCUGUUAAGUCGGUUGUGAAAGCCCGGGGCUCAACCCCGGAACGGCAGCCGAGACUGGCGGGCUCGAGACCGGGAGAGGAGGGUGGAAUACCCAGUGUAGAGGUGAAAUUCGUAGAUAUUGGGUGGAACACCGGUGGCGAAAGCGGCUCUCUGGCCCGGUUCUGACGCUGAGGCGCGAAAGCGUGGGGAGCAAACAGG
rnacentral:rRNA from 1 species